rnacentral:rRNA from 1 species
UACGGGGGGAGCAAGCGUUGUUCGGAUUUACUGGGCGUAAAGGGCGCGUAGGCGGUCAGCACAAGUCAGUUGUGAAAUCUCCGGGCUUAACUCGGAAAGGUCAACUGAUACUGUGCGACUAGAGUGCAGAAGAGGCAACUGGAAUUCUCGGUGUAGCGGUGAAAUGCGUAGAUAUCGUAAGGAAGACCAGUGGCGAAGGCGGGUCUCUGGACAGUUCCUGACGCUGAGGCACGAAGGCCAGGGGAGCAAACGGG